rnacentral:SRP_RNA from 1 species
GGGCCUUUUCAGUUGGCGAGCGCUUCGCCACUUUGACGCCGAAGGAAUCUGGGUCUUCUUCGCCCUUUGCCAUCCGCGGGAAGUUUCCACGGUAGAGUCCCGACUGGAGGUUGAACCGGUGGAGGGAGCCGUUCUCCAAACCCAGCACGCAGUAGUUGCCGCAGGAGCUGAUGGCCACACUGCACAC